rnacentral:rRNA from 1 species
UCAGGUGGCCGCAGAGAAUAGGCCCAAGCGACUGUUUACCAAAAACAUAGGUUUCUGCUAAGUCGCAAGACGAUGUAUAGGAGCUGACGCCUGCCCGGUGCUGGAAGGUUAAGGGGAUCUGUUAGAGCAAUCGAAGCAGUGAACUUAAGCCCCAGUAAACGGCGGCCGUAACUAUAACGGUCCUAAGGUAGCGAAAUUCCUUGUCGGGU